rnacentral:rRNA from 1 species
UAGAAGCCGAUGAAGGACGUUACUAACGACGAUAUGCUUUGGGGAGCUGUAAGUAAGCUUUGAUCCAGAGAUUUCCGAAUGGGGAAACCCAGCAUGAGUUAUGUCAUGUUAUCGAUAUGUGAAUACAUAGCAUAUCAGAAGGCACACCCGGAGAACUGAAACAUCUUAGUACCCGGAGGAAGAGAAAGAAAAUUCGAUUCCCUUAGUAGCGGCGAGCGAAACGGGAAGAGCCCAAACCAACA